rnacentral:pre_miRNA from 1 species
AGGAGCAACAGCCCUAGUGGCGGAGCCAGCUCUGGAAACCUGGAUUCAGCUCCUGUAGGAACUCCGGAGCUCUCCGUCUGCAGGGCCUGGAGGCUCCAGGGCGGG